GUCCACGCCGUAAACGAUGGAUACUAGCUGUUGGGGCAACUUCAGUGGCUAAGCGAAAGUGAUAAGUAUCCCACCUGGGGAGUACGUUCGCAAGAAUGAAACUCAAAGGAAUUGACGGGGCCCGCACAAGCGGUGGAGCAUGUGGUUUAAUUCGAUGAUACGCGAGGAACCUUACCAAGGCUUAAAUGUAGAUUGACAGAUUUGGAAACAGAUUUUUCUUCGGACAAUUUACAAGGUGCUGCAUGGUUGUCGU
rnacentral:rRNA from 1 species